rnacentral:rRNA from 1 species
UACGGGGGGGGCGAGCGUUGUUCGGAAUUACUGGGCGUAAAGGGUUUGUAGGUGGUCUGCUAAGUCAGACGUGAAAUCCCUCAGCUUAACUGGGGAACUGCGUCUGAUACUGGCGAGCUUGAGUGCAGGAGAGGAACGCGGAAUUCCAGGUGUAGCGGUGAAAUGCGUAGAUAUCUGGAGGAACACCGGUGGCGAAGGCGGCGUUCUGGACUGCAACUGACACUGAGAAACGAAAGCCAGGGUAGCAAACGGG